rnacentral:rRNA from 1 species
AACGAACGCUGGCGGCAGGCUUAACACAUGCAAGUCGAACGCCCCGCAAGGGGAGUGGCAGACGGGUGAGUAACGCGUGGGAACGUACCUUUCGCUUCGGAAUAUUCCCGGGAAACUGGGAGCAAUGCCGAAUACGCCGUAUUGGGAAAGAUUUAUCGGCGAAAGAUCGGGCCCGCGUUAGAUUAGCUAGUUGGCGGUGUAAUGGACCACCAAGGCUACGAUCUAUAGCUGGUCUGAGAGGAUGAUCAGCCACACUGGGACUGAGACACGGCCCAGACUCCUACGGGAGGCAGCAGUGGGGAAUCUUGGACAAUGGGCGCAAGCCUGAUCCAGCCAUGCCGCGUGAGUGAAGAAGGCCUUAGGGUUGCAAAACUCUUUCGCCGGUGAAGAUAAUGACGGUAACCGGAGAAGAAGCCCCGGACUAACGUCGUGCCAGCAGCCGCGGUAA